rnacentral:lncRNA from 1 species
CGGUGAUAGAAUCAAGUAAUAUAAAAGUAGAUGAUGCUUUUUCUGUGAGUUCUUCUGUGAAUGGUUCUUCGAAUACUUUGAUAAAUGAUGAUGAUGAUGAUUCUCCUUUUGACUUGCAUGUGAAUGAUAAAACUUCCUUAUCUGAUAAAUCUGUUGAAACUGUUGAAACUGUUGCAUCACAUGAUUUAACUGCACCUCUUGAAACCCCUAGCACUUCUUCUGAACUUACACC